UUGGUCUCGUUUCUCGUUGCUCAAGUUCUUUGAUAUUUUCCUACUUAUUUCCUAUUUUGUUACAAUUUGUAGCUUACAAGUUCAUCGAAUCGAGCCCUACUUCCCCGUUUUUGCGUCGGCAUUCUACUGUAAAAACUUCCAGAACCAUUAUGUAUUUUGGAAAGAGCUGAUAUGAUAAAAAGUUUGUCUAUAAUGUGUUAGAUGCUGAUCGACUUUGUCAUACUAACUAAGAGAUGCAAGCAACAAUAACAAGUCUCUUAAAGAAUGUUCCAGUCCAGAGAGUUGGAAACAAUUAUUGUGUCUGUAUAAGUUGUGGAAUAUCUUUGGACAGGCACUCAAGAAGACAAACUCACAGGCCAUAGGCUUAUGGAAAAAAGUGUUAAGUGGUAUUAUAUUGAAAAACAAAUAUCUCCGAGACAGAUGCCUGAUGGAUGCCCAUGUAUGGGUUGUUUGCAGGAUGAGCUCACCUCAAAAGCAUGAGCUCUAGAGAACUUUAAUGUUGUGUUAAGUGUGCCGGUGCAUUGUACCUAAUCUAGUUAGUAGCUAGGUAUUAGCUGGAAAUAUUUUGUUCAUAGAUUUUGUGAAACUAUAAGCUUAAAUCACUUUAUCAUAUUAUCAUAUCAUUAAAUAGAAAAAAAAUAGGUAUGUAUAUUUUAAUAUAGUAUAAUGUUAUUGUUAAGUUUAUUCCAUACCAAGUCUGUUAAAAAAUCAUAAGUAGGUAUAUGGUCUUCUAUCAUAUAGGUUGUGAGGUGGAUGACCAACCUCAUAAACCCUGGUAUCAAGGUUAUUACUCAGCCACCAAAGUCCCCCUGACAUGGGUUUUGUAACAACCAUGUAUUUACAUCAAUAAGUAGUAACCGGGACCAAUGGCUUAACAUGCCAUCAGAAGCAUGGAUCGUGUUAUUUGUUGACAUGGGUGAUCAGCCAGCCGUGUCCUAACUAACUGGGGAUUACAAAGUAACUUUUGUGAUAAGGCCCCACCAGGAUUCAAGCUUUGGAUCGUGACCCCAGCGAUCAACGACUGGACCACAGAGGCUGAGACUACUUGGUUAAGUUAAUGUUUU
rnacentral:lncRNA from 1 species